CAUUUUAGUUUGCUUGCAAACUAAAGAUGGCGACCGGCGCACGGGUGAGUAACACGUAUCCAACCUGCCGAUAACUCGGGGAUAGCCUUUCGAAAGAAAGAUUAAUAUCCGAUAGUAUAUUAAAACCGCAUGGUUUUACUAUUAAAGAAUUUCGGUUAUCGAUGGGGAUGCGUUCCAUUAGUUUGUUGGCGGGGUAACGGCCCACCAAGACUACGAUGGAUAGGGGUUCUGAGAGGAAGGUCCCCCACAUUGGAACUGAGACACGGUCCAAACUCCUACGGGAGGCAGCAGUGAGGAAUAUCGGUCAAUGGGCGAGAGCCUGAACCAGCCAAGUAGCGUGAAGGAUGACUGCCCUAUGGGUUGUAAACUUCUUUUAUAAAGGAAUAAAGUCGGGUAUGCAUACCCGUUUGCAUGUACUUUAUGAAUAAGGAUCGGCUAACUCCGUGCCAGCAGCCGCGGUAAUACGGAGGAUCCGAGCGUUAUCCGGAUUUAUUGGGUUUAAAGGGAGCGUAGAUGGAUGUUUAAGUCAGUUGUGAAAGUUUGCGGCUCAACCAUAAAAUUGCAGUUGAUACUGGAUAUCUUGAGUGCAGUUGAGGCAGGCGGAAUUCGUGGUGUAGCGGUGAAAUGCUUAGAUAUCACGAAGAACUCCGAUUGCGAAGGCAGCCUGCUAAGCUGCAACUGACAUUGAGGCUCGAA
rnacentral:rRNA from 1 species